GACACUUUGCAUACCAUGUCAAACCCUGAACUCCACCAUCGCCGGAACUAGAGGGAAGAAGAAUAGGGCCGGGGUUGGAGCGAUUGACGGCAACCUGGACUGGGACGCUGAAGCCUCUCCGAGGAAGACCAGUGCCCUGCAUAUGGACGCGAUCGGGAGCAUGAUUGUCGGAAUCAACGUCGUCAUCUUCGUUCUUGACGUCGUGAGAAUCGUCCUUGGAAAACCCUAGAAUUCCUGCAAUUUUCCUGAAGAACCGCAUCUCCGCACUGCAACGAUCGAAUUGAUCGAAUCACAGAGAGAGAUGGAGAUCUUGAGAAAGAAGGAAAGCAGAAUUUGAUUGAUUGUCCCGUUUCUGA
rnacentral:misc_RNA from 1 species